UAAUGUGAGGAUUAUAUGGUUGUGACGUGUCACCCCAUUGAUCACCAGGGUUGAAUCUGCUUAUCUGGCUGGUAUCCCCUUCCUCCUUCAUUGCUCCAUGUGCAUCCCUCCCGAAGUUGGGCAAUUGGUGGAAAAGAAUAACCAUCCCAGAUAGGAAUGUACUGAUCUUCAGGCAAAUGUAUACAAUAGUUGUGCUCCCCUGCUACAACCUCUAAAUAAGCUCUACAUACCCUGAUUUUGACAUCUUUAGGGGCCAGUUUCUUUACUUCACUUAGAAGCUUAUCACCAAAACCUAUUAAAUAUAA
rnacentral:snRNA from 1 species